ACAAGAGAUAGAGGUUGCGUAAUUCAAUGAGUAAUUCUGCAGAUGUGUCAGGCACAGGAGAAGCAGAACAAAAGGUGAAUACGCCGAAAGGCUUAGUACCUGUAUGCUAAGUACUUGGGCAUAAAGUAAAUAGCUUUAUGACUGUCAUCGCAAGAUGGGGCGCUAUCAACAGC
rnacentral:ncRNA from 1 species